CUAGUAGAUCGCCUUAUCGCUGUUUUAAUUUAUUUUAAAAUGGAGGAAAGUCCGGACACCGUAGUUCAACAUAGUGGCUAACGGCCACCAGCCGAGAGGUUAGGACCAGUGCAACAGAAAGAAUGUACAGAUUAUGCUGUAGUGAAACCAGGUAAACUCUAUGUGGUGCAAUGUUAUGUAAACCAGUGCUUGAGGGUUGAACGCCCGAUGCUGGAGGGUAAGCAGCUAAAGUGUUUUGGUAACAAAACACUCAGAUAAAUGAUAAGGGCUUUUUAAGUUUAUUUUGGGUUUUACCUAAGGUGGUUUAAAGGGUACAGAAUUCGGCUUAUAGAUUUACUUACCUA
rfam:Algibacter lectus DNA, contig: contig00003, strain: JCM 19300.